GGAGAGCACAUGGAGCAUCUCCACGAGUGAAGCCUUGGCGGCAAGUGAUGGGAGAAGUGGCUGCAAGAUCUCCGCUGCAGUGCUUUCCAGAUGGAUCUUCUUAAAGAAUUGAUUAUCUGGUGAGAGCUGUUGAAAAUAGAGGAAAUAUGAGAUUAGAACUCCAGGAACUAAGCUAGUAUACCCAGCACAUCCCACAGUUGUAGAAACAUUUCUACGUCAUCCCUGAUCCAUGGAGGCCACUCAAUUCAGAGUUCAAGUAUUUAGGAGCAGAACAAAAGGAGGAAGGGAAGAAGGAGAGAAAUAGAAAGAAAACAUCCCACAGGAACCUUAACUUCACUCCAUAGCACAUUUAUCAUUUUACAGAAACAUACAGUGCGUUAUUUUAACUUGCUAUUCCUAGAAAGAAUUAAACAUUUCUGCCAACACCCACAACUUUUCUUAAAAACUGUAAACAUUAUGCAGAGCCUUUCAGACUAUUUUGCCUUUGCCAGUAUUCCUCCAAAUAAAUCCUCAGUUAGGAAGUCAUCUUAUCACCUGAUUGGCUAAAAACUAGGCAUGAAACUACUUUUUAUAGAGACAUGGUAAACAUAUCCACUAGAUGGAUCAAACAGAGGUGAAAUUGCUUAGAAAUCUUCUUUUGUUGAUAACUGGAGUCUUUCUGAAUCUGAAACCUACUUGUUAACCUGAAAUCCAGAUAUUUAUGAGCAUCACAUGUUUUUUUCUGCUGCUUUUCUUGUUUAGCCAAGUAUGCAAUGCAGGGAACUACCCAAUCUUAUAUUUGAAAUACUGAUGUUUUAAUUUACUUAGUUUGGACAAUUUAAAGGAAUUAAAGUGAUUUGGGGGUCAUAGGAUAUAGAAAUAUGUUACUCUUUAUAUGUUUUAACAGUUAUAUCCAAAAAUAGAACAAAAGAAUGUCUGUAACAUACAGCUUUAAAAUAUCUCUUGUGGGAUUAAAAAGCUCUUAUCUGUUGUGCAUGUUCCAAUUAUUUGCUUACUGAUCCAGGUAGUUGGUGAUUUAUGACUGUUUGUUUAAUGAUGAUCUGGAAUUAUGACAGCCUCAGAAAUUAUAUCCAUUUAAAGAUAGGAAUGCUCUGCUCAUUCUUAUUCAUACUCUUGAGACCUCCCAUUUGGACUACUGCAAUGCAUUCUACAUGUGGUUGAGGGCCAUUCAGGAGCUUCAGCUGGUACAGAAUGCAACUGCACAGGUUGUAAAUGGUGUUGUCUAUUUGAUACAUGUAACACCAUAGUUGAACAAAGAAUGAAGGUUAUGCUUUUGAUAACAGUCUAUCAUCAAUGCUUAAGAAGAACUGAUGAAAAUGGGAAAUGUGGAAACUUUCCUUGUAAGUUUUUGAACAGCUCUAGGUCCCCCAUGC